rnacentral:rRNA from 1 species
UACGGGGGGGGUAAGCGUUGUUCGGAAUUACUGGGCGUAAAGGGCUCGUAGGUGGCCAACUAAGUCAGACGUGAAAUCCCUCAGCUUAACCGGGGAACUGCGUCUGAUACUGGAUGGCUUGAGUUUGGGAGAGGGAUGCGGAAUUCCAGGUGUAGCGGUGAAAUGCGUAGAUAUCUGGAGGAACACCGGUGGCGAAGGCGGCAUCCUGGACCAACACUGACGCUGAGUGAGCGAAAGCCAGGGGAGCAAACGGG